rnacentral:misc_RNA from 1 species
GAUGAAGAACGUAGCGAAAUGCGAUAAGUAAUGUGAAUUGCAGAAUUCAGUGAAUCAUCGAAUCUUUGAACGCACAUUGCGCCCGUCAGUAUUCUGGCGGGCAUGCCUGUUCGAGCGUCAUUACGCCCCUCAAGUCCCCUGUGGACUUGGUGUUGGGGAUCGGCGAGGCUGGUUUUCCAGCACAGCCGUCCCUUAAAUUAAUUGGCGGUCUCGCCGUGGCCCUCCUCUGCGCAGUAGUAAAACACUCGCAACAGGAGCCCGGCGCGGUCCACUGCCGUAAAACCCCCCAACUUUUUAUAGUUGACCUCCAAUCAGGUAGGACUACCCGCUGAACUUAAGCAUAUCAAUAAGCGGAGGA